CUCCGGCCAAUGGAGGAGAAGCAGCUGCCGAUUUUUUGCUCUCAUGAAGGGACACUGAAUAACGAAAGAUGAAUGCAAGGAAAAAAGGUGGAAAGCCAAACAGAGGAGGUGGGAGAUUUAAUAAACCAAGAGGAGGAGGA